AAUCAGCUGGCUUUCCAUCUAGGCUCCACCCUCCCACUGUGUGUCACCAAGCUGUGAUUAAUUAUCCUGUCAAUUCGAUCAUGGGGCGGGGCUGCUGAGGUUAUAUGAAUGAACAGCCCAUCCACUUCAGGUGUGUCUCCCUACCUCUUCUCGGGGGUAAACUUUGGCGUCGGCAGUGUGACUGGCGUGGCGUGGCGUGGCGUGGCGUGGCGUGGCGUGGCGUGGCUGUUGCAGGGCCCAGCAAGGCUCAACUUGUUAAGUCGUGGCGGUUUUAGACUUUUAGUCAGCCACUUGUCUGGCUGAAAGUUGCGGCCGAGGAAGAGUGGCUGCUGUAUUGUGUGCGUGGCGUCCCAUGUGCUGCACGGAGCGUCUUUUGUGUCUCCCCCUUCCGCGUCAUCGACGGCGCCUGCCUGUCUGCCGAAUGAGGUUGGAGGCGGAAGCGUGGCCUUCAAGCCGGUGCAGAUCCCCUUAGCAUCCAAUUCCUACGCAAAGCGGUGUCGUUGUGGUGCACCACAAUGGCGCAGGAGCACUGAAGCUUCUACGUCCCGCCAGUGGCUCACCUGCUGAAGCGGGCCUCUAAACAGUGCGGGACCCCCCCACUGCUGUUCUGUCUAGGCUAUUUUCUGUAUAGUGAUUUAAUCAUUCUUUUCUUUUUGUGUGCGUGUGGACCUCCUGGCCGGUAUUUCAUUACUAAUGGUUGCUAUUUCUUGUUUUGAUGAAACCGGAGCUGUUGGUGCCACUGUUAGUAGUGACUGGCUGAUCCCGGUGGUGGUGGUUCCCUUCAUUUUUUUGUUGCAGUGCACCUCGGUGUCAAUAGUUGGUGUGUGGUUUGUUUUGUUUUUCACGUGUGGUGGAACAUUAGGCCCCUUCCCCCUCAGCAAGUCAACUCUGCCAGUGAGCCCUCAGUCUCAGCCCCCUCCUGUAUGUUGCAUCUCAUGGUAACCUGAAUGACUGAGAACCUGAGAAAGAUUUUAUCUGAACUUUGUGAUCGCGACUAUUUUAAGAAAAUAAUUUAAUAUUAAAAUAAACUUGUAUAAUUUUCUUCAUAGAAUCACGUCCAGUGCCUGUGUUGUCCGAACCUGUGUCCUGUCAUUGACCAUAGACUGGUUGUCCCUUUUAAUUCCUGGGGUGAAAAGGUGGCGUUGUUGGCUUUUAAUAUAAAAAAAAAAAAAAAGAUUUUC